AUUAAUAAAAUAAAACGACACCGAAAAAACUUCAACUUGAAAUGUUUCAGUUUUUUUAAUGUUUUUUCUGUUUCGGAAAACACGCGUGUGCGUGCCUGAAGCCGCGCCAGAGUCCAGGCUUAAAUGCAGAUGGAGAACGUAUCUGUCGGAUGCAUUUUGGGGCUGUCUCCUCCUCCCGCCCGGCACAUGUGAAACGGUUGCUGCACACCACUCUCCACUGGGCCUGCCCCACUGCCUCUUUCCCUCACGGCCCUGCACGGCCCUGCACGGCCCUGCACGGCCCUGCACGGUACGGUACGGUACUGCUGCUGGCGGCACAUUCCGGCCGACACUUCGACAGCCGCCACUUCACAUGCCCUCGAAGAAGAAGUCAAUGUCCUGCUCGGUGGUGGGACGCCCCCCUCUCGUGGCAGUUGCAGUUUCAGUUCCAGUUCAUGCCGCUCUGGAUUGGCAUUAAUUAAACACUUUUUUGCACUGAAAGGAA